AGAGCUGGAAAGGGCUCGCAGAGAUGAUAUAAUGUCGUGGAUUUCAACUUUUCAGGGCCAUAGACACUUUUCAGAAAUUGAUAAAACGUUGACACAUCUCGUAAAAAAUGAACACAUUAAAAUUAUGCCUGCAGUUUGAGGUAAUGGAGAAGCACUGGAGAUUUGUAAGCCAGGGAGUCAAAUGGUGGACUGGGAUUUUCAGGAGAUCAUUUAGAGAGCAAGAUCUCACCAAAUCCUUUAGUCAUGGUCUAUUUCAUUGCACUCACAUGGGUGUUACUGCGAAGGUGAAGAACUAAUGACUGCAGCAGGAAAAAGAAUUGGAUGUGUCAUGAAUUAUGGCCCUGCUUAUACUUCUACUUCAACCAUAAUCAUUUGUUUAAACAAAAAGUUCUGCAUUUGAAUUGUCACAAUUGUGUGUGCGUUAUAAACAUCUCAUAUUUCAUCCAGGCUCGGCCAAUACUUGCCUUUGUUAACACUCAUAAUCAAGAAAUAAAAUCUCAUACUGACCAAAAAUUAUCCUUCAUAAGAGAAUAUAAACAGAAGUCUGAUUCAUAAACUUACUAAUUAACACCUCUACUCUCAUUUAUUAUCUAACAUUUUUGUUUCAUCUUAAAAUAAAUAAAACUUUAUGACAUGCUAAUAA